rnacentral:rRNA from 1 species
AUUGAACGCUGGCGGCAUGCUUUACACAUGCAAGUCGAACGGCAGCGCGGGGCUUGGCCUUGGGGCCAGUGGCGGACGGGUGAGUAAUGCAUCGGAACCUGCCCGGUAGUGGGGGAUAACGCCCCGAAAGGCGGGUUAAUACCGCAUACGACCUGAGGGUGAAAGUGGGGGACCGACAGGCCCCGCGCUAUUAGAUGGGCCGAUGUCGGAUUAGCUAGUUGGUGGGGUAAAGGCUUACCAAGGCGACGAUCCGUAGCUGGUCUGAGAGGACGACCAGCCACACUGGGACUGAGACACGGCCCAGACUCCUACGGGAGGCAGCAGUGGGGAAUUUUGGACAAUGGGGGCAACCCUGAUCCAGCCAUGCCGCGUGCGGGAAGAAGGCCUUCGGGUUGUAAACCGCUUUUGUUCGGGAAGAAAUCCUCUGGGCUAAUACCCCGGGGGGAUGACGGUACCGGAAGAAUAAGCACCGGCUAACUACGUG